ACAAUUUAUUACCUCGAUAUAUCUUGUCCUCUGCUAAAAAAAUUACUGAAAGUAAAUUAUUUUCUGAACAAUUCCCUAUUUAUAUAUAGUAGCCAGUUGUAUUAAAUUUUUUAAAUAAACAUUCUGCAUUCUAACACAGUGUGUAAAAAAAGGUUGCCGCUAUUAAAUUUUACUACAGUAUAGGACGUUCGGCAACUGUGGUUCUAGGGUGUUCUCGAGAAAGGGGGCGUUUUUAGGCUUUACCCAUAGCGGGCCGUUGUAUCCAGGACUGACGAAUUAUAUGUGGUAAUAUAUAUGUUCGAUUACGCUACUAUUCAUGAUAGUACAGUUUACUGAUGGUGCAGUAUACAGGUUGGUUUUCCAAGCAAGGAUGAAUUAGAAAUGGGUUUGCAAAAAUCGUAAAUAAAGUAAUCAAAACAGUGACCCAAAAAACAUGAAG